AUGCACGCUGGCGGCGUGCCUAAUACAUGCCAGUCGCGCGAACAGACGAGGAGCUUGCUCCUCUGACGUUAGCGGCGGACGGGUGAGUAACACGUGGAUAACCUACCUAUAAGACUGGGAUAACUUCGGGAAACCGGAGCUAAUACCGGAUAAUAUAUUGAACCGCAUGGUUCAAUAGUGAAAGACGGUUUUGCUGUCACUUAUAGAUGGAUCCGCGCCGCAUUAGCUAGUUGGUAAGGUAACGGCUUACCAGGGCGACGAUGCGUAGCCGACCUGAGAGGGUGAUCGGCCACACUGGAACUGAGACACGGUCCAGACUCCUACGGGAGGCAGCAGUAGGGAAUCUUCCGCAAUGGGCGAAAGCCUGACGGAGCAACGCCGCGUGAGUGAUGAAGGUCUUCGGAUCGUAAAACUCUGUUAUUAGGGAAGAACAAAUGUGUAAGUAACUAUGCACGUCUUGACGGUACCUAAUCAGAAAGCCACGGCUAACUACGUG
rnacentral:rRNA from 1 species